UACGUAGGGGGCGAGCGUUGUCCGGAUUUAUUGGGCGUAAAGAGCUCGUAGGCUGUUCGAUAAGUCGGGUGUGAAACCUCCAGGCUCAACCUGGAGACGCCACCCGAUACUGUCAUGACUAGAGUCCGGUAGGGGAGCGUGGAAUUCCUGGUGUAGCGGUGAAAUGCGCAGAUAUCAGGAGGAACACCAGCGGCGAAGGCGGCGCUCUGGGCCGGUACUGACGCUGAGGAGCGAAAGCGUGGGUAGCAAACAGG
rnacentral:rRNA from 1 species